rnacentral:rRNA from 1 species
AUUGAACGCUGGCGGCAGGCCUAACACAUGCAAGUCGAACGGUAACAGGAAGAAGCUUGCUUCUUUGCUGACGAGUGGCGGACGGGUGAGUAAUGUCUGGGAAACUGCCUGAUGGAGGGGGAUAACUACUGGAAACGGUAGCUAAUACCGCAUAACGUCGCAAGACCAAAGAGGGGGACCUUCGGGCCUCUUGCCAUCGGAUGUGCCCAGAUGGGAUUAGCUAGUAGGUGGGGUAACGGCUCACCUAGGCGACGAUCCCUAGCUGGUCUGAGAGGAUGACCAGCCACACUGGAACUGAGACACGGUCCAGACUCCUA